rnacentral:rRNA from 1 species
UAGCGAAGGGGGCUAGCGUUGCUCGGAAUCACUGGGCGUAAAGCGCAGCGUUAGGCGGCUUUCUAAGUCAGGGGUGAAAAUCCUGGACUCACUCCAGAACUGCCUUUGAUACUGGAGAGCUUGAGUCCGGGAGAGGUGAGUGGAACUCCGAGUGUAGAGGUGAAAUUCGUAGAUAUUCGGAAGAACACCAGUGGCGAAGGCGGCUCACUGGCCCGGUACUGACGCUGAUGGUGCGAAAGCGUGGGGAGCAACAGG